UUCGUCAUGAAAAUCGAAAGCUUCAGUGACGGUUAAAACCGUUAAAAUAUGGUGGCAAUCAGUUGGAGAGGCUUGACUAGCUGGUAUGAGAGAUGAAAUGCAAAUUUGAAAGAAUGAGAUGACGGGCAGAGUGUUUAGUGAAGAUCACGAAUUUCUACACUUUGGAAAUCAGAAAAAACUCGAGACUUGCCAACACCAAAACCGCCCAGCUUUACAACUCGAACUUCCCGAACAAAGCCGAGAUUUUUUCCCUUGGAAAAACGCCGCAACGCCAUCAGCAAAUUGGUCAUACCAUAUACGGAACUGCGUGUCCCUAGGGAAUUUUAAAGAAGCCCUUUGGAUCUAUGCCCGAAACCGCGGUACCCGAAACAUAAUACUAGGUGCUGUACCCAUAGUGCUCAAAGCUUGUGCCUCCCUCUCUAUGGUUAUUCCUGGCAAGGCUUUACACGCUGAAUGUGUGAAGUCAGGGGUGGAAUUUGAUGUGAUGGUGGGUACUGCAUUGGUUGACUUGUAUGGGAAAUGUGGAGAUGUUGUGAGUUCGCGCCAAGUGUUUGAUGAUAUGCCUAAGAGAAACGUGAUUACUUGGAAUGCAAUGAUCGGUGGGUAUAUGAAGAAUGGGGAUACAAAUUCUGCAUUGCUAGUGUUUGAAAGUAUGCCAGAGAGAACUUCGGUAACAUGGAAUGAAAUGAUUGAUGGCUAUGGGAGGAACGGGGACUUAGUGAUGGCGAAGCAGUUAUUUGAUAAGGUUCCAGAUGGGUUGAGAAAUGUGGUGACUUGGACUGUGAUGGUUGAUGGUUAUGCUAGCUGUGGGGAGAUGGAUGCUGCAAGGGAAGUGUUUGAGGGGAUGCCGAGAAGGAACUUUUAUGUCUGGUCAUCCAUGGUAUCAGGGUAUUUCAAGAAGGGUGAUAUUAAGAAUGCUAAAGCUAUUUUUGAGAGGAUGACUUCAAAGAAUUUGGUGAAUUGGAAUUCACUGAUUUCUGGGUACACACAAAAUGGGCUGUGUGAGGAAGCUUUAGAAGCCUUUAGAAAAAUGCAAGAUGAAGGGUUUGAGCCAGAUGAGGUUACAAUGGCAAGCGCUUUAUCAGCUUGUGCUCAGCUGUCAUUAUUGGAUGUUGGCAAGGAAAUACACGAGAUGAUUGUUCAGAAGGGGGUUAAAGCAAACCAGUUUGUUCUGAAUGGAUUGGUUGACAUGUAUGCCAAGUGCGGUGAUUUGAGCAAUGCCAGAUUGAUCUUUGAAGGAAUGCCACAUAAAAACGAUGCAACUUGGAAUUCUAUGAUUUCUGGUUUUGCCAUUCAUGGUCAACCUGAGGAGGCCAUUGAACUUUUUAGAAGAAUGGAGAACUCUGGUGUGACUCCUAACGAGAUAACAUUUCUUUCAGUCCUAUCAGCUUGUGCACACUGUGGGUGUGUAGAAGAAGGCAUGGAAAUUUUCUAUAAGAUGGAGAAGUAUGGGUUAAUGGCAAACAUCAAGCAUUAUGGUUGUCUAGUUGACCUUUUAGGAAGGGCAGGAAAGUUACAGGAGGCUCUUGAUUUGAUCAAGGGGAUGCCUAUAAGCCCAAAUGCCACUGUUUUUGGGUCUCUUCUUGGAGCAUGUCGAAUUCACGGCAACAUGGAUAUGGCAGAAUGUGUGCUUGAAGAGGUUGAGAAAUUGAACUCCAAUAGUCGCCCUUGUGAUGAUUUACAUUAUGUGCUGCUGUCUAAUAUUUAUGCCUCCUCUGAACGAUGGGAGAAAGCUCAACAGACAAGGUCAAAUAAAGGGUCUCAAAAGAUGCCUGGGUGCAGUUUAGUCAUGCUUGAAGGCCCUUACUAGAGUAUAUUUCUCCGAGUUCUACUACAUGAACUCCCAAAUUCUACUCCCUCAUUUCUACUCCCUAAUGUGGCAAGUCAGGAUUGGUUAUUUUCAAUAUGUGGGUCCACAGAAAAAUGUCUACAUCAAGAACAUGUGAGAGGGAGUACAAGUUGGGAGUAUAAAAUGGGAGUGCACAAAGUAUUUUCCUAUUUCUCCCCAUUUGCAUUACUGCAUUUUUUUCUGGAUGUCCAAUGAAGUCUAUGGUGGCUUGUGAACAAUAUGGAUCACAGUACAAACAAAAUUGAGUCUGUCACUGAAGUAAUUCCCGGAUCCUUUGUAUCUAUUUGAGACAAAAGCUUUGUCCGGCAUUCAUCCGUUAAAGCACCCACAGAGAUACCAUCCACAGUUUCCAGGUGACAUCAUUCUUCUUGCACUCCCCUAUAUAUCCUGCCUUAGCUCAUGAAGAUAGAUAGAGAGAGAGAGAGAGAAUGGAUAUGAUGAGAAAAUGGUUCAGAAGGUUGAAGAAGAUGUUGAAAGCAAAGGGCAAGAGGUCAGCAGAAGCAGAAGAAACUGCUUCUUCAGCUUCACCUCCUGCUGCAGCAGCUCAGGAUGAGCAGCUAUUUCUCUCACCCAAAGCCAGCAGAAGCACUCAAGCUACAACUGAAAUUUGUGAUGAUCAUCCAGCUACAGCCUUGUCAAAUUGAUGCCCAAUAUUUCUCUUAAAAAAUAAUAAUAUCUGUAUUUUGAGUAGUUUCUUCUUGUUCUUCCUUGGUGCACUUCCUGUACUUUCUAUUAUGAUCUAGUGUAUGUUUUCCCUUUCA